rnacentral:rRNA from 1 species
CCUACGGGUGGCAGCAGUGGGGAAUAUUGGACAAUGGGGGCAACCCUGAUCCAGCCAUGCCGCGUGUGUGAAGAAGGCCCUCGGGUUGUAAAGCACUUUCAGUGAGGAAGAACGCCUGGUGGUUAAUACCCAUCAGGAAAGACAUCACUCACAGAAGAAGCACCGGCUAACUCCGUGCCAGCAGCCGCGGUAAUACGGAGGGUGCGAGCGUUAAUCGGAAUUACUGGGCGUAAAGCGCGCGUAGGUGGCUUGAUAAGCCGGUUGUGAAAGCCCCGGGCUCAACCUGGGAACGGCAUCCGGAACUGUCAAGCUAGAGUGCAGGAGAGGAGGGUAGAAUUCCCGGUGUAGCGGUGAAAUGCGUAGAGAUCGGGAGGAAUACCAGUGGCGAAGGCGGCCUUCUGGACUGACACUGACACUGAGGUGCGAAAGCGUGGGUAGCAAACAGGAUUAGAUACCCUGGUAGUC